CCCCAAUCACUUUUCAUUUAUCUCGCUCUACAACCACAAUCCUCAUUUUCAAAUCCCUAUUUUCAUACUAACAUUGCAACUUGAAAUUCAUCCUACGUAGUUCAUCAUACAUAGAUAAAAGAAGGGACAUUCGGAUGAAAACUACCCUACUUCGACUCGUCGUUGAAGAUGUAGAUGACCUCGGUAACGGACGAACCGUCCUCCUUGUCAUUGGAGGCUGUCCGGGAUUCUGACUGCUCUUCCUCGUUGUCAUCAUCAAUAUCCACAAAGAGCCACUCUUGUCUCAUGUAAGCGAGGUGGAUACGACGACGUUUGCCACCGCCCCCCGCCUCAUGUCGGCAAGGUGGAUACGACGACGGUUUGUGCCUCUCACUAGGAUUGGGUCGAGUAGGUGCUCCACCUGGAACUGCACCGCACCUUCGCAGCUUGAGUGUAUUGGAACUUUAUCGCCGCCUCCUUCAUGCCCAAGCCGUCAGGUUCAACCUCCAUGCACAUCGCCUCCUGCUUCAUGUCCUACAUGCUCGCCUCAUCCUCCUUCCUCGACGCAUGCCCUUCCCGUGGCACCGCCUCCUCUCGUACCUUCUCCUACUCCGACGCAAUUUGAGCACUGCAGUGUGACGCUUUUCUGUGGGGCGCAUAUCUGCGACGAUCUUUGCAUGACACCGAGGUGAGAGAAUUUUGUAGAAGUUAUCUUUUGCCAGACCAUGAAGGGCAUGUGAGGUCGGAAAGGCAGAGGUAGAGGGAAAAUUGGUGGCGAUGCGAACAGGAGGGAGAGCACUGGAAUCGGG
rnacentral:lncRNA from 1 species